AGCGGCGAACGGGUGAGUAAUGCUUCGGAAUCUGCCCAAUGGUGGGGAAUAACCAGCCGAAAGGUUGGCUAAUACCGCAUACGCUACGGGAAAGCGGCGCCGAUGGAUGAGCCGAAGUCGGAUUAGCUAGUUGGUAGGGUAACGGCCUACCAAGGCGACGAUCCGUAGCUGGUCUGAGAGGACGACCAGCCACACUGGGACUGAGACACGGCCCAGACUCCUACGGGAGGCAGCAGUGGGGAAUAUUGGACAAUGGGGGAAACCCUGAUCCAGCGACGCCGCGUGUGUGAAGAAGGCCUGCGGGUUGUAAAGCACUUUUAGUGGGGAUGAAUGACCUAACCCAAAGAAAAAGCACCGGCUAACUCUGUG
rnacentral:rRNA from 1 species